rnacentral:rRNA from 1 species
GAUGAACGCUGGCGGCGUGCCUAAUACAUGCCAGUCGAGCGAACGGACGAGAAGCUUGCUUCUCUGAUGUUAGCGGCGGACGGGUGAGUAACACGUGGAUAACCUACCUAUAAGACUGGGAUAACUUCGGGAAACCGUAGCUAAUACCGGAUAAUAUUUUGAACCGCAUGGUUCAAAAGUGAAAGACGGUCUUGCUGUCACUUAUAGAUGGAUCCGCGCUGCAUUAGCUAGUUGGUAAGGUAACGGCUUACCAAGGCAACGAUGCGUAGCCGACCUGAGAGGGUGAUCGGCCACACUGGAACUGAGACACGGUCCAGACUCCUACGGGAGGCAGCAGUAGGGAAUCUUCCGCAAUGGGCGAAAGCCUGACGGAGCAACGCCGCGUGAGUGAUGAAGGUCUUCGGAUCGUAAAACUCUGUUAUUAGGGAAGAACAUAUGUGUAAGUAACUGUGCACAUCUUGACGGUACCUAAUCAGAAAGCCACGGCUAACUACGUG